rnacentral:rRNA from 1 species
AUGGCAAAGAUGUUUGAUGCAUCUGAGAAAGUAUAUCCUUACCUUAGGGACUACCAUAAUCUGUUAUGGAUGAGGUGCAUGUUCGACCCUGACAUCAAGUGUGACUACAUAUAUAAGAAUCUUGUCGAGUGCUUUAAUGCUUGGGCACGAGAUAUCAAGGACUUGCCGAUUGUUCAGCUAGCUGAUAAGAUUAGAGAGAUGAUUAUGGACCUAUUUAGACAGAGGAUAAUGAUUGGAAAGAAAUUUCUAGGGACAACACUCCCAUUUUUCAUACAACUAUUAAAUGCAAUGACUCGGGGAGUAGGACAUCUCAAGACUAAAGCAUCAGGUGAUUGGAGUGGAGAUGAGAAAUGUUAA